UACGUAUGGUGCGAACGUUGUUCGGAAUCACUGGGCAUAAAGAGCACGUAGGCGGUCAGGCAAGUCCGUGGUGAAAUCCCCCAGCCCAACUGGGGAACUGCUUCGGAUACUACCUGACUUGAGUGCAGGAGGGGAGAGUGGAAUUCCAGGUGGAGCGGUGAAAUGCGUAGAUAUCUGGAGGAACGCCGGCGGCGAAAGCGACUCUCUGGUCUGCAACUGACGCUGAGGUGCGAAAGCUAGGGGAGCAAACGGG
rnacentral:rRNA from 1 species